GUGACUACAAUGCAUGUAUUUUAUAUACACAUAUAAAUUAUAUAAAUAAAGUACAUUGUAGUUAUUAAUAUCUUAUCAGAUUCUUGUUUAUAUCUUAUCCUCCUUAAUAACUUAUCUUAUCCUAUAAUAUCGAAUUCCAUUAACAUCUGUCGUUUUAUCACCACAGUUUACCCUCUUAUUUUUAUAAUCUUAUUAGAUUAUCUCUGUAUAUAUUCUCUGUUAGUUCUCCGUCGAUUAUCUCUGUAUACAUGUAAUUAUAAUAAAUGAAUAAAUAUAUAUAUGUAUAGAAGUAUAUAUAAGUAUAUAUGUAAAAUAUUAUGUAUGUGAAUAUAUAAUGUUCGAUUUACGAUAACUUAAUUUCUCAUUCUCGGUUAACAGAUUGAUGAUAGCUUUAAGCUGGCAGAUUUCUCCAUCAUUUUUAUGCAAAUGCGACUCCUUUCAGAGUGCAGCUAACAUUUAAUCCGACCCCGUGUCGCAUGCAUGAUAAAUAAGCGCACGUUGUAGUUACAGGUCGUAAUUAUCGCGGAGUAUCAUUCUUUCGUGCCAAGAAGAGACCGACCUCGCCGCACUGUUCGGCUUUUCCUAUCCUUACAAGGGACCCACACAUUGUUCUAGACUGGCAGAAUACCAACAUCGUCUCGUGUUUCCCACUGGGACACAACGAUACCUCAUAGCUGGAAAUAAUACGCAUCCACUGCUUCCUGUCGCUUUAAAACGAUUUACUGUACCUUUUCACUUGGGUCUUGCCUAUCUAGUCUACAGAACAUGUUCGAAAUAAGUACGUACACUCCUGUUUGUAAACAAAAUAGAGCCCCACUCGUUCGAACACCUAUUAGCCUAAGAACUGAAUCGAAAUUUUGAAUUAAUUAAGAACAGAUACGAUAGAGAAAUCAAUAUCAAUUAUGAAAAGUGACUUCCUUUAUUUCGAUAGACUUUUGACGAAAGACUCUUCUAAGGUAAAUACGUAGCAGUUUGUUUAAACAGAGUUUUUCAUCUACUGCAUUGUGCUGAAAUUCCUCUGCACCAUUUCAAUUUGUAAUUCUUAUUAAAAGAAUUAAAAAGCAAUAUUAAUGGUACACAGGUUUCCAAGUAUCUUUUAAUUGUUACUGAAAAUCGCAACGCCUGUAAUACGUAAUUUAAGGAUUAUGGCAUCUCGUUUGUUCGCGACUCAUCCUCAUUAAUCUUCACGCCUCUUUUCCCAUGGCUGCCAUUAUUCCUGGCAUUAGGAGCACGUUGUUAAUCGCGAUAUUGUAUCAUUCCCUCGUUAAUUGCGUUAAUUGACUCUGGUCCGCCUGGAGUGUACUAUUAUUUUAUUGAAUUCCAGCGUCAAAGACUGUGAUCUGAUAUGAUUAGUAAUGGAUUCUCUAUUAAUCAGAUUCAAAUGGCUGUUGAAAUUCAAUCGAGAGAAAGAGUGAGAAAGGAAACCGAUAUGAUAAAAACAAAUGAAAAUUUCUCUUAGAAACUCGUUGGAAAAUAAUUAACGACUCUCGAUCUUCUGUACGUUCCAGUCUAAUUAAAACAUCCCAGCGCAAACAAAUAUCCUAAUAUGUUCUUCUUUUCUACUUUUGAGAUCUUAGGGCGAUUGUCAUAUAGACAAAUUUAAAUAAUAAAAAGCAGCAGGCAAAUUGUGAAAGCAAACGCCGAAGUGGAUGUGAAAAGAUUGCGCUGCUUCGUACAAAGCGUGCAACGAGAAUUAAAGUAAUUUGUCUAGAACACCAAGAUAGCACAGUAUCAUUUAGGGCAAUGUGAUAUUAAUUACUAGCAAUAAGGAUAGUAAUAAGACUCAGAGGGAUAGUACAAAUUAAGACUACGUACAAGAAAGAUUGUUACUUAUACAGAGUGUGCCAAACUUAACUCUCCACCUACAACAUUAUUUUUGCUGACGUUGUCUAGCAGUUGAUCUUUGUAUGUCCUUUACGUAUUCACCUACGAAAUAGCUAAUAUGUAGUACCAAAUCUUGGUCUCUUUGGCGUCAUUUAACUCUUCUUACUAUAAUAGAAAGGUUUCUUCAUAGAGCGAGUAAUUUUGUAAUAUUUAGAAAUCAUGAAGUUAGUCAGCUUCGCCCUACUUAGAGUCGGUUACUUCACUUGCUAGGAAAUAAUUUCCUGUUUCCUCGUUAAUGCCACGCUAUUUUCCUUCUAUAUAUUCGCCUGUGAAAUAUGAACACAUAGUAAGUAGUAUCGAUGCAAGGGCCAAUGGUACUGUAACAUCAUUUUCCAAGAGAACGGUUUAUUUCCUUUUUCAAAGUUGAUGCCCGCGAUGUUAAUACGACAGAGUAAAAAAACUGACCUUUUGGCUUUGAUUUUCAGGUUCAAGGACAACGUUGCGCGAGCCUUUCGGCUGAAAUCUCCGUCAAACCGAAGGUGGUAGAGUCUUAGACUUUUAUCGACAAUAUUUACAUACCCUGUACAUUAGAAAAACGACUUUGUAGACCUUGGUAUUUUCGCGGCGAUCAACUUCAACGCUUCGAUAACGGAACAGAAAAGAAGAAAAGAAGGAAUUAAAAAUAAUUGAAAGAAAGGAAGAAGAAGGAGGAAGGCAAAGUUCACGGUUCGAGUGAUCGACGAGUUUCACCGUUCCGCUUUGUGUUCCCAUCCACUUCCGGGCUUUCAGAGGACGGGGAAAACAGAGCAGGAAGAUCUGUCUUCGUAUCAAGAUUUAAAAUUCCGUCUGGCGCUUUACAAGGAGACAGUCAAUACGAAGGUAUUACAGGGAACAGAGGCAGAUAUAGGAAAAAGAAUAAUGGAGUAUGCACAGGGGAUCUACCAGUAGUUUUCUAUUUCUUUCCUCGUUGAAACGUUCCUCCUACAGUAUCGUCGAGGAACGGUAUCGAUUCUAACUACUCUUCGCUGAUCCAUCGAGCCUUUACAGAAGUUCGUAAUUGGCUCCUCGUGCUAUGGCGAGAACUAUUUCCGGGCCACUUGAUUUUCGCGUGUAUAUCACGGACACUUGAAGGGAAAAGUUUGCUUCAAGGUAACUGGAGCAGGGAAUGAAACAUGGCAGGUAUUUUUAGAAGAUUGUAAACGAAUAAUUUUCGAUUACAACUAAGAAAACAGCGUUUUGUUCUUAAACCUGAGAGGAUAGAAUAUUGUUCUUAUUUAUAUAGGAUCUUUAAUUUAUAUAGGAUGGGCCAAAAGUCACGUCACACGUGUGAAUCUCUCAAACGACAAAAUUUUCAACGAAGAGCGUCUUUAUCGGACUACGGACUUUCAUGAAAAUUCAUAUUAUAACUUAGUAAGAGACUUCUAUCAACUUCUGUCCCGAGAUAGAUUUACGACAAGAUUCAGAAUCAGACACACGAAUACCCCCUAAAGAAAAAGACAGAAUCUCCAAUUUGCAGCUUAAGCAAUCAGAUAAUAACCGUCAUAUACCUGCAAUAUGAAUGUAACAUGUAGAGAAUAACAUAUAUAAUAAAUAAAAAAUACAAUCGUACUUGUAA